AUUGAACGCUGGCGGCAUGCCUUACACAUGCAAGUCGAACGGUAGCGGGCCUUCGGGUGCCGACGAGUGGCGAACGGGUGAGUAAUAUAUCGGAACGUACCUUUCAGUGGGGGAUAACGUAGCGAAAGUUACGCUAAUACCGCAUAUUCUGUGCGCAGGAAAGCAGGGGGCCUUCGGGCCUUGCGCUGAUUGAGCGGCCGAUAUCAGAUUAGCUAGUUGGUGAGGUAAAGGCUCACCAAGGCGACGAUCUGUAGCGGGUCUGAGAGGAUGAUCCGCCACACUGGAACUGAGACACGGUCCAGACUCCUACGGGAGGCAGCAGUGGGGAAUUUUGGACAAUGGGCGCAAGCCUGAUCCAGCAAUGCCGCGUGCAGGAUGAAGGCCUUCGGGUUGUAAACUGCUUUUGUACGGAACGGAAAGCCCUGGGUUAAUACCCUGGGGUCAUGACGGUACCGUAAGAAUAAGCACCGGCUAACUACGUGCCAGCCGCCGCCGUAAUAC
rnacentral:rRNA from 1 species